AACGAACGCUGGCGGCAUGCCUAACACAUGCAAGUCGAACGAGACCUUCGGGUCUAGUGGCGCACGGGUGCGUAACGCGUGGGAACCUGCCCUUAGGUUCGGAAUAACUCCCCGAAAGGGGUGCUAAUACCGGAUAAUGUCUUCGGACCAAAGAUUUAUCGCCUUUGGAUGGGCCCGCGUUGGAUUAGCUAGUUGGUAGGGUAAAAGCCUACCAAGGCGACGAUCCAUAGCUGGUCUGAGAGGAUGAUCAGCCACACUGGGACUGAGACACGGCCCAGACUCCUACGGGAGGCAGCAGUGGGGAAUAUUGGACAAUGGGCGAAAGCCUGAUCCAGCAAUGCCGCGUGAGUGAUGAAGGCCUUAGGGUUGUAAAGCUCUUUUACCCGGGAUGAUGAUGACAGUACCGGGAGAAUAAGCUCCGGCUAACUCCGU
rnacentral:rRNA from 1 species